rnacentral:rRNA from 1 species
CUACGGGUGGCAGCAGUGAGGAAUAUUGCACAAUGGGGGGAACCCUGAUGCAGCAACGCCGCGUGGAGGAUGACGCAUUUCGGUGUGUAAACUCCUUUUAUAUGUCAAGAAAAUGACGGUAGCAUAUGAAUAAGCACCGGCUAACUCCGUGCCAGCAGCCGCGGUAAUACGGAGGGUGCAAGCGUUACUCGGAAUCACUGGGCGUAAAGGACGCGUAGGCGGGCUUGUAAGUCAGGUGUGAAAUCCUACAGCUUAACUGUAGAACUGCACUUGAAACUACGAGCCUAGAGUAUGGGAGGGGGAGAUGGAAUUAGUGGUGUAGGGGUAAUAUCCGUAGAUAUCACUAGGAGUACCUAAAGCGAAGGCGAUCUCCUGGAACAUAACUGACGCUAAGGCGUGAAAGCGUGGGGAGCAAACAGGAUUAGAUACCCGGGUAGUC